AUUGAACGCUGGCGGCAGGCCUAACACAUGCAAGUCGAACGAGUGGCGGACGGGUGAGUAAUGUCUGGGAAACUGCCUGAUGGAGGGGGAUAACUACUGGAAACGGUAGCUAAUACCGCAUACCAUCGGAUGUGCCCAGAUGGGAUUAGCUAGUUGGUGGGGUAACGGCUCACCACGGCGACGAUCCCUAGCUGGUCUUAGAGGAUGACCCGCCAAACUGGAACUGAGACACGGUCCAGACUCCUAGGGGAGUCAGCAGUGGGGAAUAGUGCACAAUGGGCGCAAGCCUGAGGCAGCCAUGCCGCGUGUAUGAAGAAGGCCUUCGGGUUGUAAAGUACUUUCAGCGGGGAGGCGUUACCCGCAGAAGAAGCACCGGCUAACUCCGUGCCAGCAGCCGCGGUAAUAC
rnacentral:rRNA from 1 species